rnacentral:rRNA from 1 species
AUUGAACGCUGGCGGCAUGCCUAACACAUGCAAGUCGAACGGCAGCACGGGAGCUUGCUCCUGGUGGCGAGUGGCGGACGGGUGAGUAAUGCAUAGGAAUCUGCCCAGUAGCGGGGGACAACUUGGGGAAACUCAAGCUAAUACCGCAUGCGCCCUACGGGGGAAAGCGGGGGACCUUCGGGCCUCGCACUAUUGGAUGAGCCUAUGUCAGAUUAGCUUGUUGGUGGGGUAACGGCCUACCAAGGCGACGAUCUGUAGCUGGUCUGAGAGGACGAUCAGCCACACUGGGACUGAGACACGGCCCAGACUCCUACGGGAGGCAGCAGUGGGGAAUAUUGCACAAUGGGCGAAAGCCUGAUGCAGCAAUGCCGCGUGUGUGAAGAAGGCCUGCGUGUAG